rnacentral:tRNA from 1 species
UGUUCUGUGACGGAGUUGGUUAACGCGAACUUGGGGAGACGUGGGUUCAAACCCCACCAGAACUA